rfam:Aedes albopictus isolate Foshan contig80467, whole genome shotgun sequence.
UAGCCUAGUGGUUAAGGCUAUGGAUCGCCAAUCCGCAGACGGCGGGUUCGAUUCCCGU